GUUGCAAGGGUGCGUAGACAAUAAAUGGGAGUUUUUCGCCCCUCUUAUAUUUAGAAUUAUGCGUAAAGUGAUAUUACUCAUGAACCAUACAUAUUAAGACUAGGGUCUUUUGAUUUGAGAUCCUUAGUUUAUGACCUUGAAAUUGAGGUCAAGGUCAUAGGUAAAUUGGACGUUCUAGAUUUUGACCUUUGCUUGAAAUUCAUAUUUUUAUACAUCAUAAAGCCAUAGGA
rnacentral:lncRNA from 1 species